GCUACCGAGCAUCCACUAUUGACGCGUAAUGCAAUGGAGAAAGGGAAAGAGAAGCUCGCGAUUUUGGAUUGGGGAAUAACGGACUUCAAAAGCAAUGGAGGUUGGGGUUGACGACAUCACAAUGGUGGUAGGGGCAAAGAACGGCCAAUGGUGGUGGGAAAUUGGGAAGAACAUAAGUGGGGGAGAUUAGGGAAGAAGGGUUUUGGAGAAUUUAAAAAUAGGGGAAGGGAAAUCCAAUUUCUGAUUUCAUAAACUUGUAGUACUUACCGACGAUCAUGUCCCUCGUAUUGGUAAUGACUUAUGUCAUUUACCGCUAUUACUGGCGGAUAUAUCCGUCAGUAAGUUA
rnacentral:lncRNA from 1 species